CUGAAUAGGGCGCAUAAGUAACAGGUCGUAGACCCGAAACCAGGUGAUCUACCCAUGUCCAGGAUGAAGGUAAGGUAAUACUUACUGGAGGUCCGAACCCACGCACGUUGAAAAGUGCGGGGAUGAGGUGUGGGUAGCGGAGAAAUUCCAAUCGAACUUGGAGAUAGCUGGUUCUCUCCGAAAUAGCUUUAGGGCUAGCCUCGAGGUAAAGAGUCAUGGAGGUAGAGCACUGUUUGGACUAGGGGCCCUUCUCGGGUUACCGAAUUCAGAUAAACUCCGAAUGCCAUGUACUUAUACUCGGGAGUCAGACUGCGAGUGAUAAGAUCCGUAGUCGAAAGGGAAACAGCCCAGACCACCAGUUAAGGUCCCCAAAUAUAUGUUAAGUGGAAAAGGAUGUGGGGUUGCUUAGACAACCAGGAUGUUGGCUUAGAAGCAGCCACCAUUGAAAGAGUGCGUAAUAGCUCACUGGUCGAGUGACCCCGCGCCGAAAAUGUACCGGGGCUAAACAUAUUACCGAAACUGUGGAUGAACCUCUUUAGAGGUUCGUGGUAGGAGAGCGUUCUAAGGGCGGUGAAGUCAGACCGGAAGGACUGGUGGAGCGCUUAGAAGUGAGAAUGCCGGUAUGAGUAGCGAAAGAAGGGUGAGAAUCCCUUCCACCGAAUAUCUAAGGUUUCCUGAGGAAGGCUCGUCCGCUCAGGGUUAGUCGGGACCUAAGCCGAGGCCGAUAGGCGUAGGCGAUGGACAACAGGUAGAGAUUCCUGUACCAGUGCUAAUUGUUUAACCGAUGGGGUGACACAGAAGGAUAGGGAAUCGCACGAAUGGAAAUGUGCGUCCAAGCAGUGAGUGUGAGAAGUAGGCAAAUCCGCUUCUCGCGAAGCA
rnacentral:rRNA from 1 species